UACAAUGCGAGAAAUCGUGAUAAGGGAACCCCGAGUGCCCGUAAAUUCGGGCUGUCCGCCAGUGUAAAUAACUGGUGAAGAAAGGGCCGGGCAAGACCGGUGCCAGCCGCCGCGGUAAUACCGGCGGCUCGAGUGGUGGCCACUAUUACUGGGCUUAAAGCGUCCGUAGCUGGAUUGUUAAGUCUCUUGGGAAAUCCACCGGCUCAACCGAUGGGCGUUCAGGAGAAACUGGCAAUCUAGGGACCGGGAGAGGUGAGAGGUACUCCAGGGGUAGGAGUGAAAUCCUGUAAUCCUUGGGGGACCGCCUGUGGCGAAGGCGUCUCACUAGAACGGCUCCGACAGUGAGGGACGAAAGCUGGGGGAGCAAACCGGAUUAGAUACCCGGGUAGUCCCAGCUGUAAACGAUGCGCGUUAGGUGUAUCGGUGACCACGAGUCAUCGAGGUGCCGAAGGGAAACCGUGAAACGUGCC
rnacentral:rRNA from 1 species